rnacentral:rRNA from 1 species
CCUACGGGCGGCAGCAGUGGGGAAUAUUGGACAAUGGGGGGAACCCUGAUCCAGCCAUGCCGCGUGUGUGAAGAAGGCCCUCGGGUUGUAAAGCACUUUCAGUGAGGAAGAACGCCUGGUGGUUAAUACCCAUCAGGAAAGACAUCACUCACAGAAGAAGCACCGGCUAACUCCGUGCCAGCAGCCGCGGUAAUACGGAGGGUGCGAGCGUUAAUCGGAAUUACUGGGCGUAAAGCGCGCGUAGGUGGCUUGAUAAGCCGGUUGUGAAAGCCCCGGGCUCAACCUGGGAACGGCAUCCGGAACUGUCAAGCUAGAGAGCAGGAGAGGAAGGUAGAAUUCCCGGUGUAGCGGUGAAAUGCGUAGAGAUCGGGAGGAAUACCAGUGGCGAAGGCGGCCUUCUGGACUGACACUGACACUGAGGUGCGAAAGCGUGGGUAGCAAACAGGAUUAGAUACCCUAGUAGUC